AUUGAACGCUGGCGGCAGGCCUAACACAUGCAAGUCGAGCGGAUGAAGGGAGCUUGCUCCUGGAUUCAGCGGCGGACGGGUGAGUAAUGCCUAGGAAUCUGCCUGGUAGUGGGGGAUAACGUCCGGAAACGGGCGCUAAUACCGCAUACGUCCUGAGGGAGAAAGUGGGGGAUCUUCGGACCUCACGCUAUCAGAUGAGCCUAGGUCGGAUUAGCUAGUUGGUGGGGUAAAGGCCUACCAAGGCGACGAUCCGUAACUGGUCUGAGAGGAUGAUCAGUCACACUGGAACUGAGACACGGUCCAGACUCCUACGGGAGGCAGCAGUGGGGAAUAUUGGACAAUGGGCGAAAGCCUGAUCCAGCCAUGCCGCGUGCGUGAAGAAGGUCUUCGGAUUGUAAAGCACUUUAAGUUGGGAGGAAGGGCAGAAAGUUAAUACCUUGCUGUUUUGACGUUACCAACAGAAUAAGCACCGGCUAACUUCGUG
rnacentral:rRNA from 1 species